rnacentral:snRNA from 1 species
GGUGAUCUGGCUGCAGCACCUGUCACCCCACGGGUUUUCAGGGUUGAUUCAGUUGAUCUGGUUGUCUGGGUAGUGACCCUCCCACCCUUCCUCAGUGCUCUUUGUGCAUCCUUCCCAAAACGUCAUGCUCCAUCAAAGAGUCUGACUUGCCCUGAUAGAGGAGAACUGUUCUUUGGUCAAGGAUAGAUGAGUAGCUGUGCUCCCCAGCUAGAAUCUCCAAACAAGUUCUUAAAGUCCUUCUGUAGGAGAACAUAGGUAGUCAAACUUCCAAGACUCCAGACACAUCCAAAUAACGUGCUGCAUGUGGCAGUCUGCCUUUCUCU